CUUCGGGGAACGAUAACGGCGUCGAGCGGCGGACGGGUGAGUAAUGCCUAGGAAAUUGCCCUGAUGUGGGGGAUAACCAUUGGAAACGAUGGCUAAUACCGCAUGAUGCCUACGGGCCAAAGAGGGGGACCUUCGGGCCUCUCGCGUCAGGAUAUGCCUAGGUGGGAUUAGCUAGUUGGUGAGGUAAGGGCUCACCAAGGCGACGAUCCCUAGCUGGUCUGAGAGGAUGAUCAGCCACACUGGAACUGAGACACGGUCCAGACUCCUACGGGAGGCAGCAGUGGGGAAUAUUGCACAAUGGGCGCAAGCCUGAUGCAGCCAUGCCGCGUGUAUGAAGAAGGCCUUCGGGUUGUAAAGUACUUUCAGUCGUGAGGAAGGCGGCGUCGUUAAUAGCGGCGUUGUUUGACGUUAGCGACAGAAGAAGCACCGGCUAACUCCGUGCCAGCAGCCGCGGUAAUACGGAGGGUGCGAGCGUUAAUCGGAAUUACUGGGCGUAAAGCGCAUGCAGGUGGUUUGUUAAGUCAGAUGUGAAAGCCCGGGGCUCAACCUCGGAAUAGCAUUUGAAACUGGCAGACUAGAGUACUGUAGAGGGGGGUAGAA
rnacentral:rRNA from 1 species